GGGACUUCUUUUCGGACUAACAGUGAGAGCAAAGCAGACAAGAUGUAGGAAGGGGACUUACAGUUCCGAUGGUGGAAUCCACCACUGGAAGAUUUCUAACAUAGAAUAAUUGAUGAAUUUAGGAUGAUGGAUCCCGUGUCUAGCAAUUGUCUUAUCUGUGGAUCCUAAACGAUUUCAACUGAGCUCCAGUGAAAGAAUUCUACUUCCUGAUGUAAAGAUGAUUGUCACUUGCAAAACACCUGAGGUCCGAAUUGAUGGUGAAACUUGAGAGGUGAUGAAGAGCAACAUAUAACACCUUCUGAUUUUAAGCAUGCUUUAGCAUCUACAUUUCGUUCUGCGGGAGGAUCCUAAUUGUUUCUCUGGUUCCCUGCAGUAUUAUCAGCACAGUUCGGCUCCACCCAUUCUAUGGAAGAAGAGACUGAGGGUAAAAUGUAAGACCCACACAGGAGUGACAGAAGCAUAGAAGCAAAGCCUUCUCAACACAUCCUUUCCUCUUCACCCCAACAAACCCACUCAGCUUUGCCUUUGCUCACUUCUUCCAGAUGCUUUUGCAUCUGUAGUAAUCUAUUCCCUGUUGCUAUGGGAAAAUUCCUGACAGAGGCGUCUUGAGGCAGAAAAGGUUUAUUUUGGUUCACGGUUCCAUGGAGCAGAGUCCAUCAUACCAAUGAAGGCAUACAGCAGACACAUAAUAGCAAGGCAUACAGCAGAUGCAAAAUAGCAGCCUGUCAGAUUGCAUCAGCCAUAAUGAAGACCUCAGUGAUACUCUUCCUCCAGUCAGGAACCCUUCUGAAAGCCUUCUAUACUUUUCCCAAACUACCAUCUGGAACCAAGUGUUCAAACACAUAUGCCCGUGAAAGACAUUUCAUAUUCAAAGCACAAUGAUGUUAAACAAUCCAAUAUGGCUCCUUAUGUCACUGAAGUUGUCUUGAUGACAUCAACCUGCUUCCUGUUCAGUGAACAAAAUGACUAUUAUCUACUUUAUUCAUGGUUCUGGCCUGGUGCUCUGCCUCUAAAUUUCCUCAAGUUGUUCAAGUUUGGGUAUAUCUCUAAUUCAGCGUCUGUGAGAGUGCCAUGAAAUGCACAACACUAUAUGAUGUCAUACCUCAUUAUGCCUUUGCAUCGUAAACCACUGUCAGGAUAGCCAAUGCCAUUCUGUGUGCACGGAAGCCAUCUUGACACAAAAAGGAAACUGAAAUGUCUUCCCCUUGCAUGUCCUCUUUUGUUUGCUAUCUUGGAAGUGAUAUUUUCUGAUCAUAACUUUCAAGGUUCCCCUUAUCCUCAAACCUCUUCAUUGUGUGAGGAGUCACCAUAGACUUUCUGGUUUUUACUUUAAACCUCACAUUCUCUUUAUCUAAUAUGCUGGAUAAUUUCACAGGCAUUAGGAACUGAAUCCCCUUCUACCAAGUCUCAUGGAUGGCUGCUCUUCACUGGGCAAGCAUGGGUACUCAUUAAAUAUUCAUUGAAAGAUUUUUUUUUUAUUAACUUGUUGUGGCUUUCCCCACACUUUGGAUCCAACUAAAAUACCAGUUAAUACAUAACAAUUUUUU
ensembl:lincRNA predicted gene, 26760